UACGUAGGGUGCGAGCGUUUGUCCGGAAUUAUUGGGCGUAAAGGGCUCGUAGGCGGUUUGUCGCGUCGGGAGUGAAAACCAGGUGCUUAACACCUGGCUUGCUUUCGAUACGGGCAGACUAGAGGUAUGCAGGGGAGAACGGAAUUCCUGGUGUAGCGGUGAAAUGCGCAGAUAUCAGGAGGAACACCGGUGGCGAAGGCGGUUCUCUGGGCAUGACCUGACGCUGAGGAGCGAAAGUGUGGGGGAGCGAACAGG
rnacentral:rRNA from 1 species